rnacentral:rRNA from 1 species
GACGAACGCUGGCGGCGUGCUUAACACAUGCAAGUCGAACGGAAAGGCCCUGCUUUUGUGGGGUGCUCGAGUGGCGAACGGGUGAGUAACACGUGAGUAACCUGCCCUUGACUUUGGGAUAACUUCAGGAAACUGGGGCUAAUACCGGAUAGGAGCUCCUGCUGCAUGGUGGGGGUUGGAAAGUUUCGGCGGUUGGGGAUGGACUCGCGGCUUAUCGGCUUGUUGGUGGGGUAGUGGCUUACCAAGGCUUUGACGGGUAGCCGGCCUGAGAGGGUGACCGGCCACAUUGGGACUGAGAUACGGCCCAGACUCCUACGGGAGGCAGCAGUGGGGAAUAUUGCACAAUGGGCGGAAGCCUGAUGCAGCAACGCCGCGUGCGGGAUGACGGCCUUCGGGUUGUAAACCGCUUUCGCCUGUGACGAAGCGUGAGUGACGGUAAUGGGUAAAGAAGCACCAGCUAACUACGUG